GCUCGAGAUGGAUUCUUGCAGGCCAUCUCUAGAGCUGAACAGCCAUUUGUGAAAUCUCCUUUUGGACUUGAAGAGGAGCUCUCCUGGGGAAGGAGGCUCAACACUGCAGCACAGUAGUACAAAACAGGAAACCGUGAAGCGGUGACACCAUCGACCAAUUCCUGGGGAAUGGAUCCAUCUGUCUGCCAUCUGCCACUGAUCAGGGCUGCUGAGCUCUUCUGUUACACACCUGAUGACUCAUUAGAGGAAGUCUGUCUGGACUGCAGAAGGGGAGAAGGUUACGUGAAACUAGACAGCAGCUCUUGAUCUAUUUUGGUCGGAGUUCAGCUAAUG